rnacentral:tRNA from 1 species
GUCUUCGUGGUGUAGUGGUAAGCACGCUGUUCGCGUAACCGAGAGGUCCGUGGUUCGAUUCCCGGCGAAGGCG